rfam:Camelus ferus unplaced genomic scaffold scaffold1357, whole genome shotgun sequence.
GAGGGUAUAGCUCAAGUGGUAGAGCACAUGCUUAGCAUACACAAGGUCCUGGGUUCAGUACCCAGUACCUCCU